rnacentral:lncRNA from 1 species
UGUAAAUAAUUAAACAGGAAAUCUGCUUCAAAAGAGGACGGGAAAGUAAUUUUCUUCUUAGUCCUUCAACUUUUGUUUUCUGAACGCACCUGAAGAGAAAGCAGAAGACCAGGUUUCCUUCAAAGAGAUCCAGCAGGGAAACAGCCACCCGCCAGCGGGGAUUCCCAAUUCCCUCCAACCAGGAGGAACAAUUCAGGUUUCUGAACGCACCGAAGACAACACAGAAGACCAGGCUUUGCUUAAAAUAGAUCCAGCAGGGAAGCAGAUCCAAUAGCCGGUGGAGAUUCCGGAUUCCCUCCAACCAGAAGUGUCAACCACACAUGGAAGCCAAGCAUGGCCCGG